rnacentral:rRNA from 1 species
UUGCCAGCCCGCUCAGAAACUUAAGAAGUUGACGGGGGCCCGCACAAGCGGAGGAGCAUGUGGUUUAAUUCGAUGAUACGCGAGGAACCUUACCUGGGCUCGAACGUAAGAUGACUGUAGGUGAAAGCUUACAUCUCUUCGGAGCAUUUUACGAGGUGCUGCAUGGUUGUCGUCAGCUCGUGCCGUGAGGUGUCGGGUUAAGUCCCAUAACGAGCGCAACCCUACCUUUAGUUGCCAUCAGGUAAUGCUGGGGACUCUAAAGGAACUGCCUACGCAAGUAGUGAGGAAGGCGGGGAUGACGUCAAAUCAGCACGGCCCUUACGUCCAGGGCUACACACGUGCUACAAUGGCCGAUACAGAGGGCAGCUACCUGGUGACAGGAUGCAAAUCUCCAAAGUCGGUCUCAGUUCGGAUCGGAGUCUGCAACCCGACUCCGUGAAGUUGGAUUCGCUAGUAAUCGCGCAUCAGCCAUGGCGCGGUGAAUACGUUCCCGGGCCUU